rnacentral:lncRNA from 1 species
ACGCACACAGUUUGGGAGAACAUGAGUGUGAUUAUGACAUAAUAAGAAUUAUGGUAUUUGUUAAGCGCUCACUAUGUGCCAAGCACUGUUUGAAGCACUGGGGUAGAUGCAGAGUAAUCAGGUUGUCCCUCCUGGGGCUUACAGUCUCCAUCCCCAUUUUACAGAUGAGGUAACUGAGGCACAGAGAAGUUAAGAGACUUGCCCAAGGUCAUACAGCAGACAAGUGGCGAAGCUGGAAUUGGAACCCAUGACCUCUCUGCCACGCCCUCUGACUCCCAAGCCCGUGCUCUUGCCACUAGGCCAUGCUGUUUGUCCCCCAGCACGUGAAGGUGGACUCACAGAAGCAGGACACGGCUACAGACAGGGACACCCAUGCACAGCUCCCUGGGCCCGGGCAGCUGAAGCCCACGGAUUUCAAUCUCCUGGAGAAAACUGUGAAUCUCCUUAGGGCCGGGAGAGACUCAGUCCUUCAUCUCAGCCCCAAUCCUACCCUUUCCCAAAUGUUGACUGAGAUCAGAACCCACCCCUGAGGGUGCCGAGUUCUUGGUUCAGUUCGGUUCUGGGCCAGGGGUGUGUUGGGCAUCAGCCCAGAUCCCCAGACCUCCCGCAUUUUCCCCCUGCCAGAGGUGGCUCGGGUGAUCAAGUGAAGGAUGAGUAGGAGGUGGGGGAAGACCAGGGGAGACGUCUGAGAACUUCCCUCUAGACCGGAAGCAACUUGUGGACAAGGAAUGUGUCUACCCACUCUGUUCUCCCAAGCUCUUACUGCAGUGGUCUGCACCCAGUAAGCACUCAACAAAUACCACUGAUUGAUUAAUUGAUUGAUGAGGGGAUUGUACAGUAGUGGCACCUUUUUAUUAAAGAUAAUUGUGGUAUUUGUUAAAUACUGGGUGUUGAGCACUUUACUAAGCUCUAGAGAAGAUAUGAGGUAAUUAGGUCGGACAUAAUUAUCAUAUGUAGGAGGUAUUGAAUCCCGAUUUUACAGAUGAGGAACCUAAGGCCCAGAGAAGUUGAGCGACUUGUCUGGGAUCUCAUAGCAGUGCUGGGAUUAGAACUCAGGUCCUCUGGCUUUCAUGGUUUUUCCACGAGCCUGCAGGGCUUCUCAUUUUUUGAAUGCC